rnacentral:rRNA from 1 species
AUAGCGUAUAUUAAAGUUGUUGCAGUUAAAAAGCUCGUAGUUGGAUUUCUGGGAGGGUGCCAAUGUCCGAUUGUUUCGUGUGCAGCGGCGCCCUUCCAUCCUUCUGUUAACGUUUCUUGGUAUUAACUUACUGGUUGCGGGCUCAGAUAUUUUACCUUGAGAAAAUUAGAGUGUUUAAGGCAGGCUUGUGCCCGAAUACAUUAGCAUGGAAUAAUAGAAUAGGACUUUGGUCUCCUUUGUUGGUUUGAGGGACUAGAGUAAUGAUUAAUAGGGACAGUUGGGGGCAUUAGUAUUUAAUUGUCAGAGGUGAAAUUCUCGGAUUUGUUAAAGACUAACUUCUG